rnacentral:rRNA from 1 species
GACAGAGGUGCCAAGCGUUAGGCGGAAUCACUGGGCUUAAAGCGUGUGUAGGCGGAUCGUUAAGUACCUUGUGAAAUCCCACGGCUCAACCGUGGAACUGCUGGGUAUACUGGCGAUCUUGAGCCACCUAGGGGCGAGCGGAACAAGCGGUGGAGCGGUGAAAUGCGUAGAUAUCGCUUGGAACGCCAACGGUGAAAACAGCUCGCUGGGGUGUACUGACACUGAGACACGAAAGCCAGGGGAGCGAACGGG